CAGAGGACAGUCUGUCCUCUGCUGAACCUACCAAUGUUGAAUCGCCGACUGAGUCCAGUAUGUCCUCUGCUGCUGAUCUACCAUCUAACUCUGACACCUCCAGCUCUGAACUAGAACCUCUGAGAACAUCAACUCGGACCAGGAAACCUCCAGACCGGUUACAAUACUCUACGCUUGGUCAGCCCAUCUUGAAGAGUAUUCAGGCACUAGUCCAUGGCUUAACCACUGCCUUUACUCAUGCACUGGAGGAUGAAGAGGACCAUCUGCUUACUGCCACUGAACAACCUGUCAUCCGGACCCAACCACCAUGUACAGGGACGUACAUGAGAUCGAGGGGGGAACCUGUAACCCAUAUCAACUACUCCCUGUCACAUGACCCACGUCAGCUGAUUUGAGGUCCCUCUUCUGAUUGGCUCCUUUCACGUCGCGGCAACUCUGAAAACCGGCUGUGGAGGGAUACUUCCGGGUUCGACUCCUGCUGUGGCUGUGAGCUUAUGGCAUUUAGAGCGGUAUUGGAAAACAAAGCGUUUUCUCUCCUCAAUUCAUCUUUAAACUUUAAACUCAGCGGUCAGGUUUUUUUUCCCCUUUGAAUUGAUCUUCUUCAUAUUGAAGUGGCGAGCCGGUAGGACCAUUCUUUGUUUUCCCCUCUUUUCCCCCACUUAGCCGUCUUUGGAUUACGGACAUAUUUCCCCCUUGUAUGAAGCUGGACCCUAAGGAGGAAUACCUUAAAAGUGAACUUUAAAAA